rnacentral:rRNA from 1 species
UACGGGGGGGGCAAGCGUUGUUCGGAAUUACUGGGCGUAAAGGGCUCGUAGGCGGCCAACUAAGUCAGACGUGAAAUCCCUCGGCUUAACCGGGGAACUGCAUCUGAUACUGGAUGGCUUGAGUUCGGGAGAGGGAUGCGGAAUUCCAGGUGUAGCGGUGAAAUGCGUAGAUAUCUGGAGGAACACCGAUGGCGAAGGCAGCUCUCUGGGACGGUACUGACGCUGAGACGCGAAAGCGUGGGGAGCGAACAGG